AACGCGAAGAACCUUACCUGGGUUUGACAUCCCGUGAAAAGUGCAGAGAUGUAUAAUAGUAGCGAUACACACGGAGACAGGUGCUGCAUGGCUGUCGUCAGCUCGUGUCGUGAGAUGUUGGGUUAAGUCCCGCAACGAGCGCAACCCUUACCCUUAUUUAGCAUCAUUAAGUUGGCAACUAUAGGGGGACUGCCGGUGAUAAACCGGAGGAAGGUGGGGAUGACGUCAAGUCCUCAUGGCCCUUACGUCCAGGGCUACACACGUACUACAAUGGCCAAAACAAAGCGAUGCAAAAUCGAGAGGUGGAGCAAAUCGCAAAAACAUGGUCUCAGUUCGGAUUGUGGUCUGCAACUCGACCACAUGAAGUUGGAAUCUCUAGUAAUCGCAGAUCAGCAGGCUGCGGUGAAUACGUUCCCGGGCCUUGUACACACCGACAUA
rnacentral:rRNA from 1 species